UUAAUAGACAGUGAUCCGAAAGUGAAUAAAAUAAUAUGUUUAAUAAACAAUAAAUAUCUACAACAAAUAUUUUAAUAUGAGUGACAGAAUAGGUUGAACAAACAACAUAUGUUUUUAAGACAAAUUUUAACACAUGAUUAUAAUAUUGUUAAGAGUAAGGAUGACAACAAGUCCAAUCGAACAUGAAUAAUGUCUAUCUGCAACUCGACCUGCAAAGAAAAUCUACUCCACAAUCCGUCAGCGGAUAUUUUAAAACUCAUGUAUACCUAAAAAAAGAAGAAAUAUUUUAUACAUUUUAAAAAUAAAAUUAUAAAAAUACAUAUAAUGUAAUAUAAAUUAAACUAAAAUUUAAUUUUAAUUAAAUUUUACCUAAUAAAAUAUUAUUUUAUUUUUUAAUUAAAUUUAAUUAAAAAAUAUAUAUAAAUUAAAUUAUUAUUAUUAUUUUUUGAAGGUAAUGAAUACUGUAGAAUCAGAUAGUAUAUUAUCCGCAUCCGAUAUAUUUAGAAACGAAUAUGUUUAAAAACGAAUAUUAGAAUACCUUCUAUAUAUUAUCUGUGCAUAGUAAAUAUUUGCGAAUAAUAACUAACGGUAACAGAUUUUAUCCACGGGUACUCGAACCAGCAAUUCUUUUUCUAUCCCUAGGUAAGAGUAAGGGGUAGAGUAUAAUAUGAAAUCGUCUUUGACUAUAAAAUAUUUAACCCUAAAUUGAUUGUAUAUUAUAUUAUAGGUGCAUAAUAUUUCCAAACAAGUUUAAACUCAUUCAUUUCCGGUUUUGCUUUUGAGCAACUUACUGAGGUUUGGAAGGAUCAACCCUUUUAAAACCGUGCAGCACAAAAGGGAAAGAGAGAAGGAUAAGAAUCCUAUGGUUGAAAAAAAUAAAAGGAGAAAUUGAGAAAAAGAAGAAAGAGAUUCUGAGGUAGUAUAAGAUAAAGAGUUAUUAAUUAUUACCUUUGGAUUUGAGGACAAAAAGAGCUCCUGCAUCAACAUCAUCAUGUUGGUGGUGAAGUUGAUGAACACCGUUUGGGUUCUCAGGUUUUUCAUCAGGAAACAGAGUUCCCAUCCUGUUUCUUCUGAGUGAAGGCCUUAACAGAAGAACAGAGCAAUUCAGAGCAGAGUAUAUAACACCAUAUGCAUAUGUGUGUGUAUAUAUAAAUAUAUAGCAGAAGCUCUGAGUAUUUUUACAGAAAAAGCAGUGUGAAUUUUGAUCAGAAUAGAUGUCAGUGAUGCUACUUUUAUAGACGCCUUGUGCAGUAUGCAAUGAACUAGACUUGGAAAUAGAAGAUAUAUGACCUAAGCCUAGUUCAGAUGAAAAUGCAACAAGACAAAUGCUAAUAAGAGAAACUAUUUCGAUAACAUUUAUGGUAAGAUUUUGUUAAA
rnacentral:lncRNA from 1 species